CUAUUCCGGUACCGCACUGUGGUCGCCGUGCGGGCCCGACCGGGGUCGAAGCCGAAAAUCCUGCGGCUGUAGACGGCGAAGCUACGCAGUCGACGUCGGAGAAUGGGGCUCUCCGGCGCAGCACCAACUGCAUCCACUUCCUCACCUCGCCACCGUAGCCACCACAAGCACCUCCAUCGGCUCCUCCUCCUCGAUCCGAGGCGGCGACCGGCUGUGGUCGCGUCGCCACUGCGCGCGGUGUGCGGAGCAGCAAAACCUUCAUCGUCGUCGUCGUCGCCUUCCUGACCACACACGCACCAAGUCCAAGUGAGGUCGGCCAGUGUACGAGUUCAGAUAAUAAGCGGUAGUGCGAGAAUUCCAGUUUCCUUCACUGAAAUGAAAAGGAGAGAAGACCUACAGCUACAGCGCCCCGCCCUGCCUUCCGUCUUUGCUCCCUGCAUGGUUGCACGCCCGGUGUCCUGAUCUCUCCUCUGCCGCAUUUCACCAAUACGUGUGGGGGUUGUUUAUCAAAUCAGGCCUGAUUGUUUCCUCUCACUCAAUUCUUUGUAGCAGUUCUUUUUUAAAAGCAUACCGGCCACACAGAGAUGGACCGGGUUUUCGGUCUUCUUAUAAUAACCAUUCCUUUAUUUCCAAAGGCACACAAUAUUUAUUUAAGUAAAAUUAUGCGGUAACAUUUCCGGUGUCUUGAAUAAUGAUGAUAGAGAGGCGUGGCAUGAGAUGUCUGGCUUCACAUGGAAGAGUGAUCAGAGGAGUCUUUUCGUUCCCGGCUCACUAGAAGCUAACCAAAUUUUGAGAUGUUGGAAGUCUGAUACGUUUACAAUGGUGUUGGUAAUGCAGAUUCUGACCCAGACAAGCUCUGAAAGCAAUUCAGAAAAAGGGUGACACCCCAGCAAAGCUUGUGAAGAUACUUCAGUGAUGUACUAUUGGAGAUUAAAAACCUGACAAAGCUGGUGGAGCACAAGGCCAUUGAGUCAAAUCGUACAACAUAUGGGCAUCGGAUGAGUCAGCCGCUGCGUGUGGAACGCGACCGAAUACACGAAGCCGGGUUCAUAGCGAAGCACAGGACCAUACUUACACAAGAAUUCGCACAGUUUCGCAAUAUCGGCGGCCGUUUGGUAUCCAGUGGAUACGUGGCUGUUUGUCACAGCAUCAGAUCUCAAGUUCAAACCGUAGUUAAUGCAUUCCCUUAUCAUUUUAUUAUGUCCACACUUAUUUCACUUCCAUUUUCAUGGUACAAAAUUUAUUGAAAUUGGAGACGGAUACUUUUC